rnacentral:rRNA from 1 species
UACGGGGGGUGCGAGCGUUGUCCGGAAUCACUGGGCGUAAAGGGCGCGUAGGUGGUUUGAUAAGGGUGUGGUGAAAGCCCGGGGCUCAACCCCGGGUCUGCCGUGCCGACUGUCAAACUCGAGGGCUGUAGAGGCAGAUGGAAUUCCGGGUGUAGCGGUGGAAUGCGUAGAGAUCCGGAAGAACACCGGUGGCGAAGGCGGUCUGCUGGGGUAAUGCUGGACACUGAUGCGCGACAGCGUGGGGAGCAAACAGG